rnacentral:rRNA from 1 species
CACGUAGGGGGCAAGCGUUGUCCGGAUUUAUUGGGCGUCAAGAGCUCGUAGGCGGCUCAGUAAGUCAGGUGUGAAACCUCCAGGCUCAACCUGGAGACGCCACCUGAUACUGCUGUGGCUAGAGUCCGGUAGGGGAGCGUGGAAUUCCUGGUGUAGCGGUGAAAUGCGCAGAUAUCAGGAGGAACACCAGCGGCGAAGGCGGCGCUCUGGGCCGGAACUGACGCUGAGGAGCGAAAGCGUGGGUAGCAAACAGG